rnacentral:rRNA from 1 species
GAUGAACGCUGGCGGCGUGCCUAAUACAUGCAAGUCGAGCGAACAGACGAGGAGCUUGCUCCUCUGACGUUAGCGGCGGACGGGUGAGUAACACGUGGAUAACCUACCUAUAAGACUGGGAUAACUUCGGGAAACCGGAGCUAAUACCGGAUAACAUGUUGAACCGCAUGGUUCAACAGUGAAAGACGGUCUUGCUGUCACUUAUAGAUGGAUCCGCGCCGCAUUAGCUAGUUGGUAAGGUAACGGCUUACCAAGGCAACGAUGCGUAGCCGACCUGAGAGGGUGAUCGGCCACACUGGAACUGAGACACGGUCCAGACUCCUACGGGAGGCAGCAGUAGGGAAUCUUCCGCAAUGGGCGAAAGCCUGACGGAGCAACGCCGCGUGAGUGACGAAGGUCUUCGGAUCGUAAAACUCUGUUAUUAGGGAAGAACAAAUGUGUAAGUAACUAUGCACGUCUUGACGGUACCUAAUCAGAAAGCCACGGCUAACUACGUGC